UACGGGAGGCAGCAGUGGGGAAUAUUGCACAAUGGGCGCAAGCCUGAUGCAGCGACGCCGCGUGAGGGAUGAAUGCCUUCGGGUUGUAAACCUCUUUCAGCAGGGAAGAAGCGAAAGUGACGGUACCUGCAGAAGAAGCGCCGGCUAACUACGUGCCAGCAGCCGCGGUAAUACGUAGGGUGCGAGCGUUGUCCGGAAUUAUUGGGCGUAAAGAGCUCGUAGGCGGCUUGUCGCGUCGGAUGUGAAAGCCCGGGGCUUAACCCCGGGUCUGCAUUCGAUACGGGCAGGCUAGAGUUCGGUAGGGGAGAUCGGAAUUCCUGGUGUAGCGGUGAAAUGCGCAGAUAUCAGGAGGAACACCGGUGGCGAAGGCGGAUCUCUGGGCCGAUACUGACGCUGAGGAGCGAAAGCGUGGGGAGCGAACAGGAUUAGAUACCCUGGUAGUCCACGCCGUAAACGUUGGGAACUAGGUGUGGGCCACAUUCCACGUGGUCCGUGCCGCAGCUAACGCAUUAAGUUCCCCGCCUGGGGAGUACGGCCGCAAGGCUAAAACUCAAAGGAAUUGACGG
rnacentral:rRNA from 1 species